rnacentral:rRNA from 1 species
UACGUAGGGUGCGAGCGUUAAUCGGAAUUACUGGGCGUAAAGCGUGCGCAGGCGGUUCGUUGUGUCGGUGGUGAAAGCCCCGGGCUUAACCUGGGAAUGGCCAUGGAAACUGGCGAACUGGAGUGUGGCAGAGGGGGUGGAAUUCCGCGUGUAGCAGUGAAAUGCGUAGAUAUCAGGAGGAACACCGAUGGCGAAGGCAGGUCUCUGGGCUGACACUGACGCUCAUGCACGAAAGCGUGGGGAGCAAACAGG